AUUAAGAAGGCCAUGCAUGAUUUGUUGAGGCCAUUGCAGGUAUAGAGGAAUGAAGGUGAAGGCCCCAUUUUGUCAUCAUUCUUGCAGCUGAGAACUGAAUUCCCAGAGUAAUUUUGCUGUGCCUUGCAAUCAAAACAAAGAAGAAAAAACGUUAUUGUGAAGAGAAAUGCAACAUGAUUCAUGGUGAGAUUGUGUUAAUGACAAAAACAAGACUACGAAAAAACAAAGUGAGAACACAUUUGAGUGUGUGAUAGUUUAAGAUUUUUGAGUCUCAUUCUACCACUAUUAUAGCAGAAUAACGCGUUAGAACUUUUCUGACUAAUUCAGUAUAUUACAGAAAACACUAGGCAAUUGCCAAUUGCUGUGAGGGACCACUGUUUCAGUGUACCAUGAUUGCUUUAAGAGAUGAAUUACAUAACUGAGCAUAUUUAAAUUCACUUGGUUUUGGGGUUGCUUCAUAUUAUAUUAUGCUGUGAUGUAAACAAAGGAAAAAUGAAGAUAAAUAAGGGUGUUUCUGUAAUUUUGUUUUUGGUCUUACUUUUUAUUUUUGUUAUUGGUUUUAGCUUUAGAGAGUUAGUCCAUGCUAUUGUUUUUAAUUUUACAGAUUUCUAUUAUUAUUUUUAUACUUGGCACAUUAGGGUUAUUGUUUUUAUUUCCUCUCCCUGCAGUGUUUAAGGUUUGCGGCAAUGAUAUACAGAAUUAUAGAGUACGAAUAUAGUGAGUCAUGCCUUUAUUUUAUAAAUUGGCAUGAGAGUUUUAUGUCCUGAGUGUCUAAGCGAGAAAGGAAAAAAUUGAGAGAGUGAAAAAGUGUAUUAGAGUGCUAGGGAGAGAGAGAGAGAGAGUGAGUGAGAUGACAAAAGUUGCUAAUGGUAUAUCCCCAUUGAUGAAAAAAAUCCAAUUAUGAUAAUUGGAAUGAAUGAACAAAUGAAGACUCAUCUUGGUUUUUAAGAUGUGUGAGAUAUAGUAGAGAAUGAAUACUAAGAAUUAGUGAAAGAUGAAGAACAGAUCAUGACCCAAGUUGCUGUAUUGAAUAAAACACGAGUGUCGACGAACAAAUCAAUUUUGUAGAUAGCAAAUUGAAAAGAUAGCAAAAGAUGUAUUUUCAAGAGUAACGUGGAAGAUCUUGGAGAAAGCGUACAAAAGAGACAACUCUGUUAAGCAAGUCUAACUUCAAACUCUUCGAGACUAGUUUGAAAACUUAAGGAUGGAAGAACGAAAAUGAGUAGUCGAGUAUAACACCCUAAUUUUAGAUGCCACAAAUAAGAUAUAAAACCUUGUAACAUGUGAAAGCUAAAAAUUUAAAACAUUUUUGACAUUGCUUUUCUUAACAUUGUUUUUUGUUUUAAUCUAUUAGAUCACUUGCCUAAUUAAUUAUUCCAACUCUUACUCUGUGAACAAUUUUAAAUAAUAUACAAAAGGGGGAAUAAGUAAAAGUCAAUACCUACAUUAUACCUUUUGUGCAUAACAUUCUUUUUGCAGUGAAUACACAUUACUCAUUUGCAUUUAAAAUCUGAUGGACAAGAAGGUGAUGAGAAUGAGGAAAAUUCCUAAUAUCACUAAUCCCUUUAGCUAAUCACUCACUAUAAACAUUACAUUUAAUUUCCUUUUAAUGUUCUAUUUUGGUUGUGCACUUUAUAUUCUUUGUUUAAACUUGUUAUAUGGUUGAACUUAUUACCUUGCUAUACGGUUGACCUUUUCAACUUGCUAUAAUUGUUAUAUUUGCUUUAUGAAGUUUUUUAUUUUUAUUUUUUUCAUUUUUUUCAUUUUUGCUAAUGAUCAAAGGGGAGAAAACUUCAAUUGCAAAAAUACAUGUUGGCUAUCUUAAGAAAAUGGGGAGAUUGUUGAAAGGGGGAGCAAACUGAUUAAUGUUUGAUAUAUUCUUAAUAAUGUCCCAACUAUCUUGAGCAAGUUAGAAACAUCAUGCUUUAAAUGAUUAUUGAACUAACAAAUCUAUUAAAAUAUAGAAAUAGACUCAGUUUUAAUCUACUAUGUUAAAAUAUAAUCAAUUAAAAAUAUAAAUAACAUGUUUUCUAUAUAAAUGAGUUUGGUCGUGUUAGUGUGAAUAUGCUAUACAUAACUCAAAUUUGUGAAGAAAGAAAAGCUAGCAAGCUUUCUUAGAGAACAAAGAACCUUAGUACUUGGGAAUCAAGAAUAGAAGCCUUCAAGCAUGGUUGGAUGUAAUUAAGUGGUGACUUAUUUUGGUUUUAGUAUGGCGUCCACUCAUGAGGUGUAUUAUGUAAAUUUGAUCAUUGUUGUAUGUAUUUGCUAUGCCGGCAAGAGAUGGGAGUGAUUAUGUGUAACAUUAUCAUAAAGAGUUAUCCUUGAUUGUUAGAUUUAAGAUUGUAUAAGAGAACUUGUAUAUCAAUAUUAAACUCCACAUCAUUAUAGUGAAAUUUCUUCCAAACUUGAUUAAGAAGACUAUAUAAACCCAAUUAAGUCGAACCAAUAUAAAUUUUUGAGUGAUUCUUGUUGUAUUUUUUUUACCCAUUUUUCACAUCUUCGAAAGAUUGAAAAAAUCCAUUAAAAAUAGCUAUCAUACAUUGUUUUUUUAAAAAAGCUAAAGAUCUUAAACUUUUAAUCCAAUUCAUUCCUUCUUAGUUGAGAUCUAUUAGAUUUAACAAUUCUAACAACAUAUUUAUUGUUUAAGUGUUCAUCAAGCAUUUAAGCAUCUUAACUUGCAAUGGAGAGAAAAUUAGUAUUAUCUCUUUUUUUUUUCUUACGUCAUCUUUUAGGCUUAUGACAUCAAAGCACUAACUUUUCAAACCUACAUUAAAUUUCCAAUUGUUAAUUGCUUAAGCAAGUACUUUUCAAUGAAACUUCUAUAAUAAAAAAUCAUUUCAACAUUCAAGUCAUAACUUAAGUGAUGAAUAUUGUCACUUAAAUAAUCAGUUAAUACGUGCAAUUAUUUGUAUGUUCUUCAAGUGACCAAUUCGCUGUCAAAAUAAUAAAACAUGUUAAAAAUAUUUAAUUUAUGUUCAGCAAAUCUCGAUCACUCUAAUCUGUUUUAACAUGUUCUUGUAACCAAAUCAAUAAUUUUAUCAACUAACCAAUAUAUAUAUGUUGUCAACAUUUAAUUAAAACUAAAAUAACACAAGUUGUUUAUUUUAAAUCACAUCUAUUUUGUACAAUCUAAAAUCAACAUUAGAAUUCGAUACUUUGUUAUAAAAAUAGUCUUUCAAUGUAAACAUGGACAAUUUAAAUAUAUUGUUGUCUUUUGAAUGUUUUUGAGAGAGAAAUUUUUUUUUGUUAUAGUGUGAACAUUUGAAUUUCAAUCAUCUAAAAUAAAUUUCCAGAGACUCAACAUUCAUGUAAAUUAAAAUUUUUGAUGUUCAAAGUUAAUUUUUUUUAGAGAUAGCAAUUUUUUUGUUUUUGCUGAUUUGAUAUUAUUAUUAUUAUUAUUAUUAUUUAUUACAGUUUUAUUUUGAAUAGUCUUUAAAAAUUUAAUUUUAAACAUUUUAAAUUUUGGUUAUUGAAUUGUAAAUAUUUAAAAGUUAUACAAGUAUUUUAAGAUUUUAAAAUAAUUUUUAAAAUGUAAUUGUAAUAAAAUCCAAUUGAAUUCAACCAAUUCAUUCUUAGUUAUACUAAUUUGAUUAGCUUUGAUGAAAAUUUGCAAACCAGACCAUUUUAAUUAGUUCAAUUUAUAUUCUGUAAAUCCUAACAAAAAUGACCUUGUUAACUUUACUAAAUAUGAACAUUAUUAUUAUUAAAAUAUUAGUUGCAUGCAAAUAUGAAAAUAUAGUAUAAUAUGCUUCUCCUCCAAAGUAAAAUCUUACAUUACCAAUAUUACUUAUCGUAUACGCAAUCUAGAAGUGUUGAAAAUAACAUAUUAACAAAUUUCAUUUACUUCAUCUAUUAUAAUUCUUCAACUUCCUCUCAAAAACGAUUCGGAGAUGUAUAUUUUCUCAUCUUAGAUGCAACAAAUAUACUGUGAUGAACUUAGAUUAAAUUAAAAAUAUAAAAAACUAUUAUAUUUUUGUUAACAGAGAAUUUUUACAUCUAUUUUUGUCAACAAAUAAACAGCUUAAAUUUUUAAAGAAGAAAACAGUUAUUGUCAUGAUGUUAAUUAAACCUCAUUGUUCGAAAGCAUAAAACAUAAUUAAAGAUAAAUUAAGGAUGAUGACAUGUACAAAUAGCUUAGCUAAUAAACCAGCCGGCCAACAUCUCUUUGUUGGAAAAAAAUAACAACAAAGUUAGACACAGUAUUAUAUAUAUUACCCAUUUUAUUUAAUAUUACUAAAAUCGAUGUUCAACUUCUCCACUUUUCAAAAUGUCUAACAAUACAUAUUCAAUUUAUUUAUAAAUAAAAAUUAAAUAAAAGAUAACAUAUUUUCUUUAUAAUCAAUGUAUAUAAGUAGAGUCAAUCAAAAUACUCUCUCACAUGUAUUAUCAUUUAUAGCUUUUAAUUUUGGUGAUUCACAGUUUUUUUAUGAUCUAAUAUUAAUUAUUCAUCAGUAUCUUUGAGAAAAAUAUUUGUAUGUAUUACCAUAAUUAUAGGAUCUUGAUUAUAUAUUCCUACUUAUAUUUAAACAGUACAUUAUCAAUACAAACUAUACAAUUCAAUACAUUUUCUAUCUUGGUAUCAAAGCUAUCAAGCAAACAGUUCUUGAUCCAUAACCACAAUCAUCAUGUCAUCCGUUGUCAAUCAGAAAAGUGACAUACCUUCUACAAUCUUUGUCAAGUUGGACACAGACAAUUAUCCAUUAUGGAAAUCUCUAGUCUUACCAAUGAUUAAAGAAUGUAUACAUGAUGGCUAUAUACUAGGGACAAUAGAAUGUCCAAACCAAUUCAUUGUUGCGGAGAACACGACAACAAAAUUCAAUCCUAGCUAUGAGGAUUGGCAAGCCCAAGAUCAAGCCAUUCUAUAUGGCUGAUGAAUUCUAUGUCAAUUGACAUCACAACUCAAUUGCUUCAUUGUGAAACAUCCAAGCAACUUUGGGAUGAAGCUCAAAGUCCUGCUGGUGCACAAACCAGAUCCAUAAUCAUCUAUCUGAAAUCUGAAUUUCACAACACACGUAAAGGAAACAUGAAGAUGGAGCAAUAUCCUAGCAAGAUGAAAAAUCUUGUUGACAAGUUAAAGUUGACAGGUUCACCAAUCUCUAACUCUAAUUUAGUGAUUCAAACACUAAAUGGUUUGAAUUCUAAUUACAAUCUAGUGGUUGUCAAGUUUUCUGACCAGAUUAACAUUAGUUGGGUUGAAAUGAAAACUCAAUUUUUAACCUUUGAAAGCAGAUUAGAUCAACUCAAUAAUUUUAGCAGCCUUAACUUGAAUGUCUCUACAAACUUUGCUGCCAAGAAGGAGUCCAGAGACAAUAAAUUUGGAUCCCAAGGUGAUUGGAGAGACUUUAAUUUCAAAGGCACGAGAGGUGGCAGAGGAAGAGGUAGGAUGUCAAAACCAAUAUACCAGGUAUGCAGAAGGAUUGGUCACACUACUAUACAAUAUUAUUAUUAAUUUGAUAAGUCCUAUACAGGAAAAACUCAAUAUGUUGAAAGUGAAAAACAAGGAAUACACAUGCAUUCAUAGCUUCACCUUAUCAAGGUCAAGAUUAUGAAUGAUAUUUUGACAAUGGAGCCAUCAACAAGGUUCUAUAAGACUCUCUAUUGAUCAAUAGUUCUAAUGAUGUACCUUGAGUGUGUUUCUGUUGUUCGUAGGAGAAGAUAUAACUUCUUAUGCAUUUUGUACUAUUUUAGGCCCUUUAGAGCAAUUUAGCCAUCUAUAAGGUAAGGGAAGCUAAAUACAUUAUUUAUACUAUUUUAGUACUUUGAUAAAUAUGAAUUAGUUUGUUUUAGUUGGAUUAAAUUGACUAAGCUAUGGAAUUGAGUAAAUGAACUUGUUGAAAUUCGGUGUAUUAUAGUCUGAUCGUUUGAACUUGGUUGGAGUAUGUGUUGUCUGAUAUAUGAAAAACCUUGUUGUGAUCACUUGUAAAUGUUACUUGUUUUGGAUUGCUUUGACUGGGGAAAUUGAUGUUAUAAUUAGUUGGGAUCAAUGUUGGAUUUUGGUAUGGUAAAAGGUUAGUGUUAUGUUUGGUUUUGGUAUAAAAUUUGUGGUUUGACAGGUGAAAUCCUAUGAGAGUAGUUUAUUGAAUGAAGUUGAGGAUAAGAGUUUGUAUUUGUAUCAUUUGGAACUCGGUUAGUCAUUUAGUUUACUGAAAUUAAGUCUUUAGGAUGCUCAUUGUUGUUUAGGCUGUGAUGAAGUGUUGGUUUGGUCUAAUGGACUAAGUUAUUGAUCAAAUAAGCCAAUUGAUAUUCAAUCUAAAUGUUUAAAUAUGUUUUAUAAACAAUCACAAAGAUAAGGAUAUCAAAUUGGGUCAUUUGGUUAAGACUAGAGUACAUUUAGAUUAAUUUUAGAAUUGUUUGUUCUGGUGUGGCAGCAUUAAGCUUUGCCAAGUCAAAGAGCCACUAAACUAUAAAGCGUUAAGCGUUGUGAAGAUAAUAAGCUAUUUGUGUUCUUAGCACUCAAGAACACUUUAAGUCGCUAAGCGUUGUGAAAAUAGUGGGUUCUCUGGCUUGUGGGCGUUGAGCGGUGGACUAAGGUGUUGAACGUCACUUUUCCCUGCAAGUCUAAAUGUGGUUUUUCCAGUAAUUCGUUGGGCGAGUGAUCUUGUUCACUGAGCAAGCCCUGAUCUGGUAGCUUUAUGAUAUUUUUUUACACUCUUUGACUUAUGUUUGUUUAAGAUGUGCUUUAUGGAUUUUAUCUUGUUUAUUAGAAAUUUAGUGUAUGUUAAAUGAAUUAUAUAUAUGGAUUUGAUAUGAAAUUGGUUUGUGAGUGUGAAAUUAUAUAUGAUGCUAUAAGAAUUUCAAGGAGAAAUUCUUAAGAUGGUUGUGUAUAGUGUAUGUAUUGAUAUAGGAUGCUUGUGAUUAGGGUUAUUCUAACGUUAUCAAUAACUUUCAAAUCUCAAGAAGAGAAGGAUAAUUAUGUUGUAGAGAGUAGCAGGAGGUCCUUAGUCUCAUGGUCAUUUAUUGGCCAUAGAUGUUUGAUGGAUUAACCUCAGAGUGUGAUAGUUGGUGUGGAUGAGUUGUUGUUGUUGCACCACCUCCAAGUACAUGGCUCCUAGAGUUCGAUAUCAAUAUAUAUAUCUGGAUGAUCAAAUCUAGAGGAAAGAAUUGUAUGUCUUAGGAUGUGUUGAUUUAUUUGUGUUAUACGCCUACUUCUAUAUAAAUUUAAUAUAUGAUUGUUUUUGGUACGUUGACUUACCAUUUUUCUUUGUGUUUGUUUGUCUAUUUUUCUUCUUGUUGACUGCAAUAAUCACCUUAAUGGUGAGAGUAUAAGAGAAUGCCUUUGGUGAAUACGUGUUACGAAGAGAUGGAGCAAAAAUACAUAACAAGAAGCUUUGUUGCAUUUUUCUCGAUUUCUUUUAUAAAUACCUAUUACACUCUUGAUCAAUAUAAUUUUUCUUAAAAAUUAAAAUAUUAUUUAUAUAUUUUUUGUUAUUAUAAGUUAUAUUUGUAAUAACAUCUAUAUAAUUUCUUUGAAUUAACUAUUUUAUAUUAUUAAAAAUAUAAUUAAUUCUAAUAAUAAAAUAUAAUGAAAAUUAUAAUGUUACAUAUUUAUACAAAAGUUUAGUAUGUAUAUUAAUUUUAAUUUAUUUGAGAAUUUCAAUUCAUUUUAUCUUCCUAAAAAUUUCUCCUUCACUAUAUAGUUAUGCGGAAAUUAUGCUCUUCCUUUCUAAUAAUUAUUAUCAACAGAAAAAUACAUUAUUUUUUGUUAACGCUCCAAAUUAAUAUUUUUUUCUUUCCCUUUGUAAUAAUUUGUCAAACAUCAUAUUCAAGUACUUAACCAACCAAACACACAAAAAAGUAUGUGUUUCACCCAAUACUAUGCUUAAAAAUUAAAGUUUAAGUCAGAUUAAGUAUUUUUAUCUUAUUUUCCUUUUUUGAAAUAUUUUAUAAUAAAUUUGUGACGAAAUUUUUCAUACAUAAUAUCUCAAAUAUAUAAUGAUUAAUUCUAAUAAUCUUAUUCGAUAAACUUGAAAUUAAAAUAUAAAAUAUAAAUUAUUGAUAACGACAUUUGAUUAUAAUACUCUUUUAAUCACUCAAUCAAAUAAAAAAUUUGUUUGAGUAUUCAUAAGAAGAAAAAAUGAGAAAUAAUUAAUUCAACUUUUACACAUUAUAGUAACAUAUAAAGUUAAUGCAAUCCAAAUAAGCACAUUUUCAUAUAAUCUUCUGAAUUGGUUAAAAAACAUAUUACCUAAUAAAAUUUGUCAAAAAAUGUUAACCUGUUUUAGAUACACGUGUAAAAUGAUCUUUUUAAUCUUUCUCAUAUUUUGAAUUUAAGCUGGAUCUUUUUUAUGGAAGCAGUUUUCUAUUUUCAAUUAUUAUUGAUUAAAUCACUUCAUACCCAUAAAUUUAUUUUCUAGAAAAUUUAAAUUUUCCCAAUAGUUUUCAUUCUUUUAAAUAUUUUGAUUUGGUCUUGUAUAAUUUUUUCUUUGCUUUUGGUCUCUUUGGAAUUAAAAUCUUUGCUUUUUAUUCACAAUAUUGCAUGAUAUUAAUUAUUUAUUUAUAUACUCCAAAAUAUCCAUUAACCCUUUCAAGUAACCCAACUAGUAAUAUUGACGUAAUAUAGUGUUUAAGAAAGUAAAAUAAGAAUUAAGGAUUAAAUAUAGUGAUUUAAAAUUUUAGAGGGAUGACAUUUAAAUUAAAUAUUUCAUAAGAACUAAAAUCAAAAUGUAAAAUAUUUAUACUAAAAACUUUGAUUUCAAAUUUUAUAGAAAUGAAAAGAAAAUAGAAACCGAAACUAAAACUCAUUAGUUUAUAGAUGAUUAAAAAUAUAUUUAACUUUUUUAUUAAUAAUUUUACUUACUAAUUAUUAAAUUCAUUUUAUAUUUUAAAAAUAUUGCAUAUAUGUAAUUUUAAUUUAAUACUUUUAUUUAUUAAGUAGGAGUCUAACUUAUAAGAUUUCUAUAUAAUACUAUCUGAGCUCUCCUUUAUACCUCUUUUAUUAAUAAAAAAUGGCAAAACUCUUAGAUAAGGAAUUCACACCAUGCAAAUAAAUAAAAGAAAGAGGGGGUACUCCCUCCACCUCCACAUAUUGUUCCAUGCACCUUCACAUUCCCGUUUUGCCCUGCAGAUAAAUUUUUUAUUUUCUUUUACCUAUAUCUCUUUAGCCUUUAAAUGGAUCUUGACUUCCGUAAUCAAGAUCAGUUAAACAACACUUCUCCCACAUCUAUUCAAGCCAAUUUGUUUUAUUUUUUAACAAUUUUUUUAUACAUCAAAAAUAUUAUAAAAAUUAUUAAAUUAUGUAAAAUGGUUGGUAAAAAAAAUUGUUUUCAAGCGAUCCUCAUUGUAAAAUCGUUUACACUCUCAACACAAAAAUCACAUUUUCUUCUUUUUCACUGUGUUAUUUCUCCUUCACUGGUAUUGUUUUGUUUGUGUUUUUUGUUGGUACUCUGGUUCUGUGUUUGGAGGUAGGAGCUUCUUCGAAGUGGUGGAAGAAGGUGGUCUAGCGGUAGUGGUGCUAGUGAAAGAAAAGGUUCGGUGGUUAUAGAGCUGCAUCAGGCGAAGGUUUGUCAAAGAAGAUGCAAAAGGAAGAUGGAGAACUCUUUAACGGAUAUAAACAUCCGUUAACGGAUAUCAAAAGAAAAAGUGAAGAAAACCAACCUAGAUACCGAAACGAAGAACUCCACUUUACUUCACGGAUGCUUCUCCACACCACCACUCAACGAUCAAUGGAAAUAGUGAAACUGAAAUGCAAAGGAAGAAAAAAUGGGGAAGAGAAAUGAAAACAAAAAACAAAAGUGAAAGGGGAGGAAGAAGAAGGGAGAAAACGGAAAUGGGAAAAAGAUCCGUGAAAGAGAGAGAAGUGGGGGUGGGGGUGCAUUGGCUGUGUGACUGUGCAAAUAACAGAGGGUAGAAUUAGGAUUUAAAAAAAAUCUAAAUGGUAAAAGUAAAAACAUUUUAACUUAAGGCUAUUUUCGUAAAUAAAAGAAUUUGGGGGAGGUGGUGGGAGAAGGAGUGGAGGUGUAGAGAGGAGCGUCCUAAAAGAAAAGGGCCUAAGCUGGUCCAUUCUAACAUUUUGGGCUUCCUUUGACACCUGGGCCUAUUACUUAUUCCUGUUUUUCCUUCUGCUGCUUUUUCCUGCACUUCCAUAAUUUCAUCACGCACUUUGUACAUCUGAAAAAACAAAAUCAAUUUCACCCUUUAAUGUAAGGUUUUUAUUUUGAAUUUUGUGAUGUAAAAUUUGAAAUACAAAAUUUAUAUUUAAGUUGUAUAUUUCAAAACACAAAAUCAAAACUAUACUUCGAAUUUCGUAUUGUACUGAUGCCUUAUAAAUCCGUUUAUAAGUAUUGAUGGUUUAAUUAAAAUUAAAAUCUGUGUUUAUGAAGGUUGUCGGACUCUAAGUGAAGAUGUUGAAGAAGGUAUCUGUCAGGUUUUUGCUCAUAUGUGGUUGGAGUCUGAACUUAGCUCUGCAUCAAGGAGCAAUUCCAUAUCAGUUUUGUAUCGUAUGAUCCUACGGAAAGGGACAAAGGUCGACCGGAUAAGAUCACGGAUAGGGAUUGAUCGGUCUAAAUGUAAAUAUUAUUAAACAUCAUCCCAUCAAGAUUAUUAGUAAGCUUUACUUAUUUGACAAUGAAACCAUGAUUAAAAGUUCAUUAAUUAUAAGUUUAUAUCCAAAUUUAUAAUAUAAGUCAAAAGUAAAAAUAAAAAAAUAGGUGAUUAUAUUUAGAGCAAUGAUACUUUACUAGAGGAUCCGUUGGACGGAUUAAGGGCAACAAUUAGGUCGGACGAUCAUAAACGGUAAGUAUAGUGCCAUGGUGUAUUGAAGGAUCCGUCCCUGAAUGACCAUAAGCGGUAAGUUCAAAUAGGAUAAAACGAUGAUUAUAGGUGAUUGAGUCUUGAUUAAAGUCUCGUUAAUCCAAAGUCCAUAAUCAAAGCUAUAAAUAGAGGUUAAAGGUAAGAGGUAGACACACUCAUUAAUUGCGCAUGUAUUACAACACUCAGAUUACCGAUCGGAUAAUUAUUGACUUUGUAUGGGAGAACCUUUGACAAGUAUCCUUUCGGCCGGUGAACCAAAGAGUGAAGGAUGAAGCUUAGAGGAAAUUGUGCAAGACUUAAGUGACUCGACCCUAUACUGAAAGAGAUACCAUGACACACUUUUACAUUCAUUUAACAUAUAUUAUAAGAAUAAAAUGAUUAUAAAAAAUAUAAAAUUUUGUAUUUUUUUCAAGAAAAAAGAAAGUAAAAACAAAAAAUAAUGUCAAAUAAAUAUAAAAAAGUUAUCUAUAUGAAAGAAUCAUUUUUGUUAUAUUUACUGCGAUUUUACUAUAACUCCAACUUGGAUUGAUUAAUGAGAGUCCGAAUGUUUAUAAAUGGUAUUCGUUGGAGAUUGGACAUUGGAACUAAAGAAGAAAUUUGACAUUCUCGUCCCUAUAUCCGAAACAAGCUUCAUCCUCAUUUGCAUCAUACACAUCUAAAAAGGGUAAAAUACCUGAGUUUGAGAGGAAGCUUGGGGAGUUCAUCAAACACCAGAUUGAGUCAGAAAUUUCCCCUGUUUAUGGAGAUGGGUUUAGGGCAGGUCAAAAAGCACUACGUAAAUUUAUCACACUGCUACUUUUUGGCAUAGACUCCUAACCUCUGCUAUCUCCGAAAACUAACAAUAAAGAACACUUUCCUCACAAUACCUAUAUUCAACUAUCUUUUUGUUUACUAGUUACGUUUUAUUCAAUUAAUAAGAAAUCAGGUGGCCACCAUGGAAAGGAAUAACGAUUGGUAAAAACAGAUCCUAGAGGACUAAGUAAUGUCUGUUUAAAUGAAUCAAUUUAAAAUUUUACAUGAAAUACGUAUAAUAUAUUCAAAUUAAUUACAAAAGUAAUGGAAUUCUACAUUCCAUCUCAGCUAGCCAAAGUAUAUUUUCACAUCUCCAUGCUUAGACUAUUGUUGAUGCUGGGACUAUUGUUGAUGCUAAGUGGUAAUAUUUGGUCCAUAUAACUUACAUAUAUUUUCAAUAAGCUAGAGACUACCUCUACCAUGCUUGGCCUCUCUUCUGGUUGUUGAAUCAAGCAGGUUAGACCUAAUUUAAUUAGCUGGAGAGCACACACUUUCUCAUUGUUUCCAGUGAAGCUAGGAUCAACGAACANACUCACCUUCUCUUCUUCAUUCUCUUUUCCAAUGAAGUUUACUAUGACUACAUGAAGCAUUGCUUCUCUCUCUUCUGGUAUAGUAACAAAAUCUUCACUUGUGAUCAAUUCCAACAGUACCACUCCNAAAGCAUAAACGUCCAUUUUGGUGGUCACUAUCCCUGCCUCCAGAUACUCUGGAGAAAUAUAACCCCUCUCCAUAUCUGACAAGGNACAACCGGAAGUUAUUUUCCUUUCUGAUUCUUCUGCUUGUGCGAAAUUUGCUAUCUUGGCUCUUAGAUCUUUGUUUAGAAGAAUGUUUCCACAAUUUAUGUUCCUGUGCACAUAGGAAGGUUCCGUGAAGUUGUGAAGAUACUGAAGACCAUUUGCAAUAUCCAGAGCAAUCAAAAUCCUCUUUGCCAAAAUCUGGUGCUCUGUAGUCCUGUUUUUGCUUAGCCAUUCUCUCAAAGAGCCAUUUUCCAUAUACUCAUAAACAAGAUAAGAACAAGCAUCGUUUUCACAGUAACCCUNCAGCUUUAUCAGGUUGAAAUGAUUGAUUCUUUUCAGCAAAUUCACUUCCUUGGCUGCAUCUCCUCUCAUUUUUUUAACAGCCAAUAUGUUCUUCUCUUCACCAAAUACCCCACGAAACACUGAACCUUUAAUUCUAUUCUUUGAACUAAAAUUUUCUGUGGCCUCCUGUACUUCCUCAAACUCAUAAACUUUAGAGUGAUGCUCAAUGAUUGCUAUCUCACCACGGAUAUCAUCUGAAGAUAAGCUCUUUGCUUUCUCACCUUCUUCACCUCUCUUAACGAACCUUGCAGAUCUCUUUCUGAACAGAAAACCCCCAUAAAGGACAACACACAGAACCACAAUGGAACCCCCUGUGGUGGCAAUAGCAGUGUAGAAUUUCCCCUUUGACUUGCACUUCAUGGAGCUGCAAAUAAGAGAAGGUGACAUAUCUGGUGGAUCACUAACAACUUUGGUCAUCGAACUCAGAGGUUCAUUUGGCAAAGGAAUAAGAACAGUUGUGAAGGGAAAAAGAGUUUCUGUUGGUGUGUUAAAACCAUUAGCAUCAACCAAAUUACCUGCUGCUACAUUGAAUCUUGUAGCAAUACUUGUAAUGUUAUCAUGCCAGUUCACUGAGUAUGUCAGCAAAUACUUGGUGCCGUUUGUGACCUGAUGCAUUGUUGGACAAGCACAUCUGAGUGGCACGUGCAACUCCAUGCCAGGAUGCAAAUCAAAUUCCCCAUAUGGAUUAGCACGCAUGAGCGAAUCACAAGUGGUCAAACCCUGAAAAGUAUCAUUUGCCACUGAGAAAUCUGUUGAUGAUUGCCCCGAUACAUAUUCAGUUUCAGCUUGGUAAUAGUCCCUACUUAAACAAGAACAGUUNAGAGGGACAAUCACUUCUUUCCCAGUUGGGAACUCUGUGAGCACAGUUACAUCAUUGAUUCUUGCAAGCUCUUCUGGGUUUGAUGANGUGAGGUUGGAAACUGUGAGUAUGGUGUUAAAAGGAGGNCUUGAUUUGAAGAUUAAGAAGGCCAUGCAUGAUUUGUUGAGGCCAUUGCAGGUAUAGAGGAAUGAAGGUGAAGGCCCCAUUUUGUCAUCAUUCUUGCAGCUGAGAANUGAAUUCCCAGAGUAAUUUUGCUGUGCCUUGCCAUCAAAACAAAGAAGAAACAACAUUGUUGUGAAGAGAAAUGCAACAUGAUUCAUGGUGAGAUUGUGUUAAAGACAAAAACAAAGUGAGAACACAUUUGAGUGUGUGAUAAUUUAAGAUGUUUGAGUCUCAUUCUACCACUAUUAUAGCAGAAUAACGCGUAAGAAUUUUGCUGACUAAUUCAGUAUAAUACAGAAAACAAUAGGCAAUUGCCAAAUGCUGUCUGGG
rnacentral:lncRNA from 1 species